rnacentral:rRNA from 1 species
AUUCCAGCUCCAAUAGCGUAUAUUAAAGUUGUUGCGGUUAAAAAGCUCGUAGUUGGAUUUCUGCCGAGGAUGACCGGUCCGCCCUGUGGGUGUGCAUCUGGCUCAGCCUUGGCAUCUUCCUGAAGAACGUAGCUGCACUUGACUGUGUGGUGCGGUAUUUAGGACAUUUACUUUGAGGAAAUUAGAGUGUUUCAAGCAAGCGCACGCUUUGAAUACAUUAGCAUGGAAUAAUAAGAUAGGACCUCGGUUCUAUUUUGUUGGUUUUCGGAAAUCGAGUUAAUGAUUAACAGGGACAAUUGGGGCAUUAGUAUUCAGACGACAGAGGUGAAAUUCUUGGACCGUCUGAAGACUGACUACUGCGAAAGCAUUUGCCAAGAAUGUUUUCAUCA